GCACCGGGCAGACAAGGUCUCGCAGAAUUGCUAACACAUUUGCUGGUUUUUAAGCUGCGGCAAACGAGUUACCUAGACAUAAUGGAGCGCUAUCGAUAGACGGGUCAUGGAUCCCGAUCCAUUGCACGUAUUAAGCGAUCGUCUCCAUUUAAGUCAUUUUAUUCCCCUUUAAACCAACCGAGUAAUGAUGGCUACCAAGUUAUUGCAUCUUUCACAAACUCAGAACUUUUAAAAUCAGCGCCGCAUACUUCACUGAUGCAACGCCGCCAGUCGUUUAUAUAGAUGAGUAACUAGGAAAGCACGACCAAAGACCAAUCAAUUUCAAUGAGGAAGAAUUAAGCACGUGCUUAAUCGACAACAAGGGGACUUACAAGCGCUUCACUUUGACUGGAUCCUGCCCUUUCAGGAAUACGGAGGAGGCAGUAAACUAUAGUCUGCGGGGUCUUUCCAAAAUACCAGAAGAGCAUGGGAAUGUUUGCAAAACAUUUUUGGCUGCAGCCGUUGACGGGAUGAAAGCCAAGGCAAGGGAAGAGACAGACAGAUAGCUCUGCCACAGAUCCUCCGUGAAGUCCAAGAGCAAGGCUUGCUGACCCCCAAGCGAGGGACCAUUUGUCAAGGGGGAAGACAUCCCGUGCGUCCGGGAAACCGCGAGAAACAGUAUUUCAAUUGUCUUAUAUAUGCUUCAAAAUAGCACCGAUUAUGAAUUCUCAGUAAGUAGAUAUGUGGCAGUCACUGCAGAGGCUAAGCUUACCGAAAUAUAAGAUAGAUACAAGGAUUAAAGAGAGAGACAGACAGAUGGAUAAGAUGGACAGACAGAAAGCGGAGGCAGGCCAACCAGUAUUCCACAUUUGCACAUUAGCACGAGACAAUGGCGUUUUAAUAAUUUAAAAUAAAAUAUUUUUUUAAUCACUGGA